ensembl:snRNA U6 U6 spliceosomal RNA
GCGCUGGCUUCAGCCGCACAUGUACUAAAAGUGGAAGGACACAGAGAUUAGCCCCGCCCCUUUGCAAGGAUGACACGCAAAUUCGUGGAGCAUUCCAUAUUUUU